rnacentral:rRNA from 1 species
UACGGAGGUGGCAAGCGUUGCUCGGAAUUACUGGGCGUAAAGGGCGCGUAGGCGGUUCGUUAAGUCCUGUGUGAAAUCCCUCGGCUUAACCGGGGAACUGCGUCUGAUACUGGAUGGCUUGAGUUCGGGAGAGGGAUGCGGAAUUCCAGGUGUAGCGGUGAAAUGCGUAGAUAUCUGGAGGAACACCGGUGGCGAAGGCGGCAUCCUGGACCGAUACUGACGCUGAUGAGCGAAAGCCAGGGGAGCAAACGGG